rnacentral:rRNA from 1 species
UACGUAGGGACCGAGCGUUGUCCGGAAUCAUUGGGCGUAAAGAGCGUGUAGGCGGUUAGGUAGGUCCGUUGUGAAAACUCGAGGCUCAACCUCGAGACGCCGAUGGAAACCAUCUGACUAGAGUCCGGAAGAGGAGAGUGGAAUUCCUGGUGUAGCGGUGAAAUGCGCAGAUAUCAGGAAGAACACCCGUGGCUAAGGCGGCUCUCUAGUACGUGACUGACGCUGAGACGCGAAAGCGUGGGGAGCGAACAGG